UCGAAGGUUGCUAAAAUUGCCAUUUCUUAGCCGAAUAUGUGCUUGAUCAAUGAAGGAAUUGUUGAAGAACAUAGGUGAACUUGGUGAGGGCAAUCGGCCUAGUGUAUAAAUGAUAUGAAGAUUUUAGGAAAUUGUUUUGGUUAGGUGUAUGUAUGAUUAAGUAUAUUCGGCAAUAUACUUAAAGUGGGUACAUGAUAUUACAUUAUAAUUAUUGAGCUUGAGUAUAUGGAUAUGUGUAUAUGUGGUCAUAUAAUGACAUCUUGGUUUGAAAAUUUAAUGAUGUGUGAUUGCCGAAUGUGAUAAAUAAAUUCAUGUUAUUGAGUUAAAUAUUGAAUACUCUUAUUUGUAUUAUUUAAGCUCAAGAACCUAAAGAAGAGGCGUCCAACAAGGGGAAAUCGAAGGUUAUCGAGUAGCCG
rnacentral:lncRNA from 1 species